CUCUGUAUAUACAACAAAUUGUCGUAAACCAAAGCAGAAAUUAGUAUUGGACUGUGAAGUUCUAACUAAAUAGAAAAUAAUGCCAAUUCAGCAAUCUCCCUCUAGCUUUCUGGUUUGGAUGGCCUAAUAAUGGAGAGAACCUCAGUUUGCUCCUUCUAACAUUGAAUUGAUGAAACAAACAUCUGUUAAAACAAGUACCACCGUUCAGUACUCUUGGGAAUUUAUAAAUCACCUUAAUUUGAAUUUUCAUCACAUUUUUUCAUCAUUGUUAAUAAUUGCCUUCAAUGUUUGUAGAUUAUUUUGCUUCGGGCCUCUCAAGUAUAUUUUGGGAAAUUAUGGAUCGUAACAGUCCCAUACAUGCUUUACCUGAAGAAAUCCAAAAGAUGUCUCCUCAGGAAAAACCUUGUAACUAUUGUGGAGUCAGCUAUCUGAUUCUUCAUGAAUUUAAAGCUAUGGAAGAAAAAGUGAAAGCAGUGGAAAAAGAGAUGAUAUUUUAUCAAGGUUGUCGAAGAUUUUGAAUAGUACAAAAUUGACAGUGAAUCCAAAGCACAAAGGUUGAGUAUGUUCUUCUUUUCUGUCAUUUAUUUACUCUGAAGGAAAAGUACACAAAAUA
rnacentral:lncRNA from 1 species